rnacentral:lncRNA from 1 species
AAUAAUAAACAAAAAUAGACCUACCCUAUUACUUUGUCGGUCCAAGAAAUACAGGUUUGAAGGUUUUUAGGAAACCAUUUUCUUCUUUGUCUCAGCAGCCUCUGAUUGGUGCCUCCAUGUUCAUCUCUAUUGAGUUUGCAGUUGAGGUAAGCAUCAAUUAACCUUCUCUCCAUUGUUACGCCCUUUUCGCAUUUGUAAUUGUUGAUGUCAAAUCUGCUUCCAAUCUGAUAACUCGACUUGUAGCUUUUCAUAUUCAGACAGUGAUCUUGAGCCAGGCGUAAUUGCAGCUCUCAGAUCCAAAACAUUGGUGCUCCUUAAGGUCUCCACAACACUCAGG